CACGCUGUAAACGAUGAGUGCUAGGUGUCGGGGGUCAAACCUCGGUGCCGCAGCUAACGCAUUAAGCACUCCGCCUGGGGAGUACGUUCGCAAGAAUGAAACUCAAAGGAAUUGACGGGGACCCGCACAAGCAGCGGAGCAUGUGGUUUAAUUCGAAGCAACGCGAAGAACCUUACCAGGGCUUGACAUCCCUCGGACCGACUUAGAGAUAAGUCUUUCCCUUCGGGGACCGAGGUGACAGGUGG
rnacentral:rRNA from 1 species